UUAAAAUGUAAAUUACAUGCAUCGUAGAUGCAUUUAAAUUAAGCUUCAUGUGUUAAGCUAUUGCAAAACAUAUGUGAGAUCAUUUCUAUGCUGUGAACUUUCUUACUAUACUUCUGUAGCUACCUGUCUUCUUUCUCCUUACCCAGGAAACAAU